rnacentral:rRNA from 1 species
GUGGCGGACGGGUGAGUAACGCGUGAGAAUCUGCCCUCAGGAGGGGGAUAACGGUUGGAAACGACCGCUAAUACCCCAUAUGCCGAGAGGUGAAAUGAAUUUCGCCUGAGGAUGAGCUCGCGUCUGAUUAGCUAGUUGGUGUGGUAAUGGCUCACCAAGGCGACGAUCAGUAACUGGUCUGAGAGGAUGAUCAGUCACACUGGAACUGAGACACGGUCCAGACUCC